CACUGCUUCUGUAGUCUGCCUUAUCGGAUCCUCCGCCAGGUUUUAUAUGCUACUAAUAUACUACUUGGGGCCAUGACAGGAGUACCCCCAAAUCCUGCUGCAGGGGCCCUCUUCAAACUGAUCUACGCAGCACUGCCCUCCUUAGGCUCAGCCCCGGGCUCUGUUCAGGCUGCUGCUGCCCGAGCGCUGGGCUGCGCUCUGGGUGUGUGACUUCCGGAGAGCCCAAUGGCGGGGAGCGAGGGGGGGCGAUUACGACAGGCUCGAGCUCGGCACGAGCGCGGCCGGCGUGAGGAAUUGUGGGGGGAGAUGCUGCCAACAAUGCAUUACAUUUGCUUAACAACAAGUCGGGGUUGUUUUCCUCUCUCUCCUCCCAUGCCGGUGUCCUUGACAAUACAGCAAAGCAGGAAUAUAAACACCAAGCGUGUCUCCACUGCAAGAGGAGCAGGGAGUGCAACGGAGGCUUCUGCUCAGUCUCCUCUCCCCGGGUCACCAGAAUCCCCACAGUCCUUGGAGAUGAGGAGCGCCGGAAGAUUGUGGCCUGGCCAUCCCUUACGUCAUGAAAGUGAUUUGUGCCACAUUGCUAAUUUGGUGCAAUCCAUAACCUUCUGAUCUCCUGUGUUUGUAAUUGCUUUUCAGCUUGCAGAAUGUUUUCUCUGACAUAGUUCUUGAAUAAAGAAAUUACUAUCGCUCA
rnacentral:lncRNA from 1 species